GACAGAGGGUGCAAACGUUGCUCGGAAUUACUGGGCGUAAAGCGCGUGUAGGCGGGCUCGCAAGUCAGACGUGAAAGCCCCGGGCUCAACCUGGGAACUGCAUUUGAAACUGCGAGUCUUGAGUGCCGGAGAGGGUAGUGGAAUUCCUGGUGUAGAGGUGAAAUUCGUAGAUAUCAGGAGGAACACCGGUGGCGAAGGCGGCUACCUGGACGGUUACUGACGCUGAGACGCGAAAGCGUGGGGAGCAAACAGG
rnacentral:rRNA from 1 species